rnacentral:rRNA from 1 species
AUGGAUUUUAUCUCAGGUCUCCCUACAUCCUUCCAGUACAACUGCAUACUAGUGGUGAUUGACAAGUUCUCUAAAUAUGGCCAUCUCAUUCCUCUCUCACACCCCUUCAAUGCUCAGAAAGUGGCUGAAGUUUUUAUAGAUAAUGUGUACAAGUUACAUGGUAUGCCCAGGCUCAUAAUAUGUGACAGAGAUCCCAUUUUCACUAGCACAUUCUGGCAACUGCUUAUAUCGAGAACUAGAGCAGAACUAAACAUGAGUACAGCAUAUUACCCGGAGACUGACGGCCAAACUGAAAGAGUAAAUCAGCAAAUUGAGUGUUUCUUGCGAUGUUUCAUUAGUGCCCAUCAUACUAAGUGGAGCAAAUGGCUGUCGCUUUGUGAAUUCUGGUACAAUACCAACUGGCAUUCUGCACUGAACAGAUCACCUUUCGAAAUCAUUUAUGGACAGACCCCGUGGUUUUUUGGGAUAUCUGCUUCUGAUACAAUUUCUCUCGUCGAUAUCCAAUCAUGGUUGGACUCCCGACAGUUGAUGAUUGCUUCAGUCAAAUAG